rnacentral:pre_miRNA from 1 species
CUUUGCUGGUGUGAGAGGUUGAAGCUGCCAGCAUGAUCUGGUGGCCGGCCGGCCGGCGUCUCUCAAGUGCGCUCGGAUCGGAGACGCGUCGCCAGAUCAUGUUGCAGCUUCACUCUCUCGCAACCACCAAA